rnacentral:rRNA from 1 species
UCUACGGGAGGCAGCAGUGAGGAAUAUUGGUCAAUGGACGAGAGUCUGAACCAGCCAAGUAGCGUGAAGGAUGACUGCCCUAUGGGUUGUAAACUUCUUUUAUAAAGGAAUAAAACGAGGCACGUGUGCCUUUUUGCAUGUACUUUAUGAAUAAGGAUCGGCUAACUCCGUGCCAGCAGCCGCGGUAAUACGGAGGAUCCGAGCGUUAUCCGGAUUUAUGGGGUUUAAAGGGAGCGUAGAUGGUUUUUUAAGUCAGUUGUGAAAGUUUGCGGCUCAACCGUAAAAUUGCAAUUGAUACUGGCAGUCGUGAGGACAGUUGAGGUAGGCGGAAUUCGUGGUGUAGCGGUGAAAUGCUUAGAUAGCACGAAGAACCCCGAGUGCGAAGGCAGCUUACUAAACUGUGACUGACAUUGAUGCUCGAAAGUGUGGGUAUCAAACAGGAUUAGAUACCCCAGUAGUC